GCGAUUUACAAGGGGUUCCUUCUCUCUGCAGCGAUUUGGAAGGGGGAAGUGAGGAUAUUGCGGGGGAGAUGAAGUGGACGCCUGAAAUUUGCCUCCGAAAGCCAUGAAGAACUCGAUUCAGUUAAUCCCAUGCUGAUCUGAGAUGGAAGGAUGUGGCUUUUACAUAAGAAAGCAUUAGUUUUCAUUGACUGGACAUAAGCUUUGUUUCCGCCGAGUCCUAUGGCGCGG